AGCGAACGCUGGCGGCAGGCCUAAACAUGCAAGUCGAACGCCGUAGCAAUACGGAGUGGCAGACGGGUGAGUAACACGUGGGAACGUGCCCUUUGGUUCGGAACAACACAGGGAAACUUGUGCUAAUACCGGAUAAGCCCUUACGGGGAAGAUUUAUCGCCAGAGGAUCGGCCCGCGUCUGAUUAGCUGGUUGGUGAGGUAACGGCUCACCAAGGCUACGAUCAGUAGCUGGUCUGAGAGGAUGAUCAGCCACACUGGGACUGAGACACGGCCCAGACUCCUACGGGAGGCAGCAGUUAGGAAUCUUGGACAAUGGGCGCAAGCCUGAUCCAGCCAUGCCGCGUGAGUGAUGAAGGCCUUAGGGUUGUAAAGCUCUUUCAGCGGGGAAGAUAAUGACGGUACCCGCAGAAGAAG
rnacentral:rRNA from 1 species